GCUUAAGGAACUCAACAGAAAAUAGGAUUAGAAUUACACUCGACAUGAUGAAAUAGUAAAUAAUCACUUAAUCGAUAGUAUUUCCAAUGCAUCCAGCUUCAAAACCUAAUACAACCUAAGUAGAGGCCUUGCACUAAACUAUCAAGUAAGUUAUAUUGGACUAGUGACGUUUUUGGAGUUGAAAGAAACGGGGUCACCGCAAAAUACAGGAACACAUAUGCUGACAAAGACUACACGUGAAAG
rnacentral:lncRNA from 1 species